rnacentral:lncRNA from 1 species
GAAACUAAUGAAAUUCCUCAGCAAUAGAGCCCAGAGCGUGGUUUGACUUCCUCCUGGGAGCUGUGGUUAUUAGGAACAGCAGCUCUCUUCAGAUCAGUUGCUAAAUAUUUCAUAUACUUCCAGAAAAUUGGACUAAAACACAGUUCACUGCUCUUCAACAGUGCAGGCUCUCACCAGGCCUUGAGGGAUGUCAAACUGCUGCUGCUGUGCUCCACAGCAUUCCAGAGGGAUGGGACGCAAUAUUAAAUAUUAAAAUGUAACACAUUAUGUUAUUAUAUGGCAAGGGUGGGAAAACCUCUCUUAUUUCUUCCUUAGAUAAGAAGAAUGUAAAUAGAAGAGAAAACUGUUCUUCCCACUGUGAUAGGAACACUCCUCUGAUGACUGCAGUGCCUUUAUUGGCAAACACUCACAGCGUACAGAGGGCACAGUUCUAUGCCCAUACCUCUGACAAGCAGGAUCUCAUGGCUGCCCUCAAAGAACUUUGAAUCUCAGGAGAAGAGAGAUACCACCAUAAAAUUAUUAAACCAUGGAGGAGGUACACCAUUGUAUGCAUAAUGUAUAUAUCAAUUAUAAUUCUAGUUUAUUGCUUAUUGUUUUCAUGUGUAUUGAUUGUGUCAAUCAAACUGCAAUGUAAAUUCUUUGCACACAAGGGCCUCAUUUGUCUUCCCUCAUUUCUGCUUACUUUCCAGCACAGAGUCUGUCUCAUACUAGGACUUUAAUAAAACUUACUGAUAGAAUGGGGCUGGUCCACUGCUUUCUGGUUCCUGUAAAACCAUGAAUGUAUGGCUAUCCCAAGCAAUAGACGUAAAGCACUUCCUGAAUCAGAACACCUCUAACCUAUUAGAAAUUAUAAAAACUAAUUUGAAAAGAAAUUCUUAGACUUGAAGAAGGGAAUGAAAUAAUAGUAAUGAUACCUGACAUUGGGCCAUGCGCUCUCAUCUAAUUUAAUGGUCACAGCGAUCCAAUUCUGUCAUUAUUGCUAUCGUGACCAUUUAAA